GACGAACGCUGGCGGCGUGCCUAACACAUGCAAGUCGAACGGAGAUUUCAGCAAUGGAAUCUUAGUGGCGAACGGGUGAGUAACGCGUAGACAACGUACCUUCUAGAUGGGAACAACACUGCGAAAGUGGUGAUAAGACCGAAUGUUGUAUGUGAAACGCCUGUUUCACAUACUAAAGGGGGCGUCUUGUUUUAAGCUACCACUAGAAGAUGGAUAUGCGUCUGAUUAGCUAGUUGGUGAGGUAAUGGCUCACCAAGGCGACGAUCAGUAGCCGGUCUGAGAGGAUGAACGGCCACACUGGGACUGAGACACGGCCCAGACUCCUACGGGAGGCAGCAGUGGGGAAUCUUCCGCAAUGGACGAAAGUCUGACGGAGCAACGCCGCGUGAGUGAAGAAGGUUUUCGGAUCGUAAAACUCUGUUUUCAGGGACGAAUGUGCAAUAUGUGAAUAAUGUGUUGUAAUGACGGUACCUGACAAGAAAGCCACGGCUAACUACGUGCCAGCAGCCGCAGUAA
rnacentral:rRNA from 1 species